ACCCUCUCAGGAUGGCACCUGGAGAGUUUCCAGUACUCUACCAGUCUCGGCUAUGGGAGGCAAAGUCAAGCAGAGGCCUAUCCAUUCCAUUCCCAGCUUGGCCAGUGGCUAGCAAAUGGAAGGCAAUCUGCUACAAGU